GUGGCUUUUUUGCCGGUGAGUCCUCUCUCAAUCCAUCCUCAACACCUCUGGAAUUUGCCGGAUUUCGCAUGUAGUUGGUGAGGGGAAGGAAUUAACUGGAGAAUGAGUCACAAUAGACAAAGGGGUAGGGAAUCGUCCUUAUGAUUUGCAUUCAAGGAGUCAUAGGAGACAAAAGAAACUAGUAGGUGGUAUCAGUUCGUUGAACUUGUGCUCAAGGAAUCAGGCAAGGGAAGAGAAAGUAGCCCCUGGACAGCAAUAUCUCGCACUCAGCAUCCACCAUGUUGCUUUUGCUGGCCUUUCUAUCUACUGCAGUAGGCACGCCCACAACUUUUCGAGAUCAUCCCUGUGAAAAUUAUUCUGGAGGAGGCUUGAAGACUUGUUUUCUAUAGUUUAGAUGACAGUCCCUUAAUGGUUCGAAAUGCAUUAUUUUUUGCUUGCAAGUUUUCUCAUCGAAUCAGCAACAUAACAUGUUGUUCAGCUUGGUGCUUGGUGGCCUAAAAGUUCAUCAGAUGACAAUCGGCGGCAGUUUUAGUUGUAGCAAAC